CUGCAUCUCAAUGUCGUACACUCUAAAAACGCUGGGUUGUUUUUUCAACCCAAACGCUGGGUUGAGACCGCUGGUUAAGGAAGUUGGGUUGUUUUAACCCAAUUUGGGUUGAAAAUUGGUCUUGAUCUAUAACCCAGCGG